rnacentral:misc_RNA from 1 species
UAGGCUGAAUUAUUGAAGAUUUCAGCAUAUCAGCAAUUAACUUCUCUCUCUCAGCCUUCUGGUAGUGAGGAUACCUGUAGGGCCUAAUAUUGAUUGGUUGAGCAUGUGUCUGCAUCGGAAUAGCAUGGUUAUGACUUCUGAAUGGAGGCAUCCCUUCAGGUUCUGCAAAGAUGCCCUUAUACUUCUGAAUCAAUUGCUGCAGCGUCUCAUCUUCAAUAGAAUCAACAGUUGCAGCAGCUAACGAAUUUGCAGACACACUGGAAUCCACGAUGCAAAAUAAAGGAAGAGGAGGGACUAGGAUGUG